AUUUAUAUAAUUUAAUAUAAAAUAUUGUAUUUUCAUUACAAAAAUAGAUGUAUAAUCUUAUAAAUA
rnacentral:tRNA from 1 species